rnacentral:tRNA from 3 species
GGUCCCUUCGUCUAGCGGUCUAGGACACCGGCCUUUCACGUCGGUAACAUGGGUUCGAUUCCCAUAGGGAUCACCA